UACGUAGGGUGCAAGCGUUGUCCGGAAUUAUUGGGCGUAAAGAGCUCGUAGGCGGUUCGUCACGUCGGCUGUGAAAUCCCGAGGCUCAACCUCGGGUCUGCAGUCGAUACGGGCGGACUGGAGUACUGCAGGGGAGACUGGAAUUCCUGGUGUAGCGGUGAAAUGCGCAGAUAUCGGAAGGAACACCAGUGGCGAAAGCGGCUUCCUGGUCCAGCACCGACGUCAGGCACGAAAGCGUGGGGAGCAAACAGG
rnacentral:rRNA from 1 species